rnacentral:tmRNA from 1 species
GGGUUAGUAAAGGUUUCGACAGGGAUCUUGCAGCUGGAGAAGCUAUCCGCAGGCGAUGCGUCAAAUCGCAACAUUAAAUACAAACGCUGAAGAUAAUUUAGCAUACGCUGCCUAAUGGCAGCUGUCCGCUUUAGUGCACCUACACAUUAAAAUCCGGGCAUCGACUAUGUAGGAAACGACACAGGCUAAGCUUUGCACCUGUGGGCGUAUCAUGAAGCUACUGAACGGAUAUGGGUGUCGGUUUCCAGAUCCGGGAGGGAAUGAGGGGUUUCCCGAAAUGAUCGACUAUGAUAGUAGAAGGACAGGGAAUGGGUCUUUGGACGCGGGUUCGACUCCCGCCUAAUCCACUA